ACAACAUAUAAAAUCUGCUGGCCAGCGCUCCGUGCCGAGUGAGCAGAGCAGUCAUUUUGGGGGAAAAAAAACAGGAAGAAUGUCUUUGGAGUAGAAACUGCCCGCCCGAAACAAACAAACAAAAACAAAAAAAAAACACCUUCAACCGAAAUAUUGGACUUUCUUCUUUUAGGCUUGAUAAGAGCAGGCUACUAAAUCUGAAGCGGGCUCCAGAUGGAUGAACGCUGGAUGGCACAACGUUUUGCAGCUGUGUUCUAGGAGGCUGUGUGGUCCAGUGGUUAAAGACACAGGCUUGGAACUAGCAGGUCCCUGGUUCAAGUCCGAGCUCACACACUGUGUGACCCUGAGCAAGUCACUUAACCUCCUUGUGCUCCGUCUUUCAGGUGAGAUGUUGUAAGUGACUCUGCAGCUGAUGCAUAGUUCACACACCCCAGUCUCCUAUCUUGUAAAGUGCUUUGUUGAUGGUGGUCUGCUAUGAAAGGUGUUAUAUAAAAUAAAGAGUAUUGUUAUUACUGGU